AACGAACGCUAGCGGCGUGCCUAACACAUGCAAGUCGGACGAGAAAUCUCGGGCAACUGAGAGAGUAAAGUGGCGCACGGGUGAGUAACGCGUGGGUAAUCUGCCUUGGAGUUUGGAACAACACCUCGAAAGGGGUGCUAAUACCUAAUAUUAUCCUAGAGACUUUAGUCUUCGGGAUGAAAGAUGGCUGAGGCUUGCAAGCUAUUGCUCCAAGAUGAGCCCGCGUACCAUUAGCUAGUUGGUAGGGUAAUGGCCUACCAAGGCAAUGAUGGUUAGCUGGUCUGAGAGGAUGACCAGCCACACUGGAACUGAGACACGGUCCAGACUCCUACGGGAGGCAG
rnacentral:rRNA from 1 species